AUAAGAAACAGUUGCAACAAUCAGAGUCAGAGAGCACAGGAUGCUUUGUCGUUUAGCUUUUGGAGCAGGUGGCAAGGCCUAUGAGUUCAUUUUUUACAGUUGCAAUAGCCUGGAAGAAUCAAGGUCACAGAACCAGUAAAUCAUCUCAGCCCUCCUCUGCUUUCUCCCAACCUUGUACCUCUAGGAAAAAAAAUUCAAUCUUCUGCCCCAAAUUAUAGGAAGGUCAUGUUCAUCCUUGACAGGCAGAAUUCUCAGCCAUGAAGACAUGAGCAGAGCAAUCCACUACCCAAGUCUGAGCAUAUCCUCAUGAAUGUUGAUUAGUUUGGAAGACUAUAAAGUCCUGAUGGGCCUAGACCUUCCAGUAGUGGCCAGAUUAGUAGGGCUGGGGACUCUGGUGGGCCACCCAGAACUAGAUGCACCAUCUCAGAGGUUUUACUUAAAGACAUUGAAGGAAAUUUAAAAAGAAUUUUUAAUUAGAUUGGAUAGAGAGAAAAUAAUGGGGGAGGAGUAGGGGGGUUAGGAAGGGCAGGAGAAUAGACAUUAUGAUUGAUGUAUGUAUAUAGGUGAUUAUGACUAGUGUGACUCAAUUGCAAUCUGCACAAUUAGAAAAAUGAGAAAUUAUACCCCAAUG
rnacentral:lncRNA from 1 species